CAAUAGAUGGAAAACUGUGGGGCAA
rnacentral:misc_RNA from 1 species